UGUAGUAAAGUGUUUAAAGCAUGUAAAAUUUUGAUUUUUAAGGAUGAGUUUAAUUCUCAAUUCUACAA
rnacentral:tRNA from 1 species